rnacentral:rRNA from 1 species
AUAGCGUAUAUUAAAGUUGUUGCGGUUAAAAAGCUCGUAGUUGAAUCUGUGUGUCACGAUGUUGGUUCACCGCUCGCGGUGUUUAACUAGCAUGCCGUGAGACGUCCUACCGGUGGGCUUAGCUCCUUUCGGGGGGCGGUCCAACUAAUAUCCCAUCGCGGUGCUCUUCACUGAGUGUCGAGGUGGGCCGGUACGUUUACUUUGAACAAAUUAGAGUGCUUAAAGCAGGCUAUCUUCGCCUGAAUACUGUGUGCAUGGAAUAAUGGAAUAGGACCUCGGUUCUAUUUUGUUGGUUUUCGGAACCCCGAGGUAAUGAUUAAUAGGGACAGAUGGGGGCAUUCGUAUUGCGACGUUAGAGGUGAAAUUCUUGGAUCGUCGCAAGACGGACAGAAGCGAAAGCAUUUGCCAAAAAUGUUUUCAUUAAUCAAGAACGAAAGUUAGAGGUUCGAAGGCGAUCAGAUACCGCCCUAGUUCUAACCAUAAACGAUGCCAGCUAGCGAUCCGCCGAAGUUCCUCCGAUGACUCGGCGGGCAGCUUCCGGGAAACCAAAGCUUUUGGGUUCCGGGGGAAGUAUGGUUGCAAAGCUGAAACUUAAAGGAAUUGACGGAAGGGCACCACCAGGAGUGGAGCCUGCGGCUUAAUUUGACUCAACACGGGAAACCUCACCAGGCCCGGACACCGGAAGGAUUGACAGAUUGAUAGCUCUUUCUUGAUUCGGUGGGUGGUGGUGCAUGGCCGUUCUUAGUUGGUGGAGCGAUUUGUCUGGUUAAUUCCGAUAACGAACGAGACUCUAGCCUGCUAAAUAGGCGUACUUUAUGGUAUCUCGAAGGCCCCCGGCCUAGGUCGGGCGGUUUUUACUACCGACGUACAAACAAAUCUUCUUAGAGGGACAGGCGGCUUCUAGCCGCACGAGA